AUACAGCUAACGAGUGUCAAACAAGACGAAAUGCGCAUCCUGGAU
rnacentral:hammerhead_ribozyme from 1 species